rnacentral:piRNA from 1 species
UACUGGGGCAUAUAAAAUUUGCAAGUCCAA